GUUUGAUCCUGGCUCAGGAUGAACGCUAGCGGCAGGCUUAAUACAUGCAAGUCGAGGGGCAGCACGGGUAGCAAUACCUGGUGGCGACCGGCAAACGGGUGCGGAACACGUACGCAACCUUCCUCAGAGCGGGGAAUAGCCCUGAGAAAUUUGGAUUAAUACCCCAUAAUAUAAUGGAGCAGCAUUGCUUUGUUAUUAAAGAUUUAUCACUCUGAGAUGGGCGUGCGGCUGAUUAGGUAGUUGGCGGGGUAACGGCCCACCAAGCCUGCGAUCAGUAGCUGAUGUGAGAGCAUGAUCAGCCACACGGGCACUGAGACACGGGCCCGACUCCUACGGGAGGCAGCAGUAAGGAAUAUUGGUCAAUGGACGAAAGUCUGAACCAGCCAUGCCGCGUGGAGGAUGAAGGUCCUCUGGAUUGUAAACUUCUUUUAUAGGGGACGAAAAAAGGAAAUUCUUUUCCGUCUGACGGUACCCUAUGAAUAAGUACCGGCUAACUCCGUGCCAGCAGNNGCGGUAAUACUGAG
rnacentral:rRNA from 1 species